GCUGGGUGCAGUGGUGUGUGCCUGUAGUCCCAGCUACUCGAGAGGCAGAAAGAGGAUCACUCGAGCCCAGGAAUUCCAGGCCAGCCUCGGCAACAGAGUGAGACCCCAU
rnacentral:sRNA from 1 species